CGGCGGCAGGGCCAUCGUCCAGCAAGGCCGUUGCAGCCUCCAGCAAGGCAAAGGCUGCGGCGCCGCCAGCUGAGGACGAGGACUCUCUGCGCGGCGACCUCUUCUCAGCCAAGCCCAGGUCGUCAGCGAAGCCGAAGGCCGCACCUCUGCCGGCCGACGAGGACGAGGACUCCUUGCGCGGCGACUUGUUCUCAGCCAAGUCGAAAGGCGCAGCGACGGCGUCCAGCUCCACAAAGGCGAAGGCCGCACCGCCACCAAUCGAGGAGGAGGACGAGGACGCUCUGCGCGGCGACCUCUUCGCGGCCAAGCCGAAGGCCACUGCCGGCAAGUCCAAAGCAGCAGCAGCGCUGCCACCGGCGCAAGAUGACGACGAGGACGAGCUCAGAGGCGACCUUUUUGCAAAGCCCAAAAGC
rnacentral:lncRNA from 1 species